rnacentral:rRNA from 1 species
GACGAACGCUGGCGGCGUGCUUAACACAUGCAAGUCGAGCGGAAAGGCCCUUUCGGGGGUACUCGAGCGGCGAACGGGUGAGUAACACGUGAGUAAUCUGCCCUUGGCUUUGGGAUAACUACCGGAAACGGUGGCUAAUACCGGAUACGACCACUCCUUGCAUGAGGUGGUGGUGGAAAGUUUUUUCGGCCAGGGAUGUGCUCGCGGCCUAUCAGCUUGUUGGUGGGGUAAUGGCCUACCAAGGCUUCGACGGGUAGCCGGCCUGAGAGGGUGACCGGCCACACUGGGACUGAGACACGGCCCAGACUCCUACGGGAGGCAGCAGUGGGGAAUAUUGGACAAUGGGCGGAAGCCUGAUCCAGCAACGCCGCGUGAGGGAUGACGGCC